rnacentral:rRNA from 1 species
AUACGGAGGGUGCAAGCGUUAAUCGGAAUUACUGGGCGUAAAGCGCGCGUAGGUGGUUUAGUAAGUCGGAUGUGAAAGCCCUGGGCUCAACCUGGGAAUUGCAUUCGAUACUGCUUGACUAGAGUAUGGUAGAGGGAAGUGGAAUUUCCGGUGUAGCGGUGAAAUGCGUAGAUAUCUGAAGGAACACCAGUGGCGAAGGCGACUUCCUGGGCCAAUACUGACGCUGAGGUGCGAAAGCGUGGGGAGCAAACAGGAUUAGAAACCCCUGUAGUCC